UGUGUCAAAUAAGUCUAAUAAAAAAUAUCCAUCUAAACUGUUGACAUAAAAUAAACACGCGCACCAACAUGACCAAUUUUCAAGAGCAAUAUGACAUAUUCAUUCAUUCUUCUUUUACUGUAGAUUAACAAAUCAUGACAUAACAAACUUUGAUUAACAAUUCAAUUUAUCAUACUAAGGGGCAAUUUAAGAAGUUAGCUUUUAGCUUUUAAUUUAUUUUUGGUCAUAUCACUUCUCAAAAAUGGUCCGUAGCUCAAAAAUUGAAGGGCUCGAACGGCUCGAAAUUAGAAAUUUCUCUCUCCUCUCGAUAUCUUCCCUCUCCGCCUUUGCAGUCAACUCCAUUUUGUAGCUCGAAAGAAAUCAAAAAGAAAUCAGCACCUCUCUCUCACUGUCGUCUCAUCCCUCUCUCCUCUCUAUCUCUUCACUCUGGCCUUGAAGGAGUACGAAGGAAGACGAGACGGGGGACAUGAAGGACGAGGAGACAGUGGACAAACAACGAGGGAGGACGAGGACGAACGACGACGGAGGAUGGAGGACGAACAACAACGGAGGACGAACGGGAGCCUACGACAGCGAAUCUGAGACUUGCCAAACUUGACCUAAUAAUAGGAACAUACGAUUAAAGCCAAGAUUAUGUAAUUGUGGAAGAACAGCGGCGGUACAUAUUGUACAAACUAAUGAGAAUGGAAAUGAAGGACAUGUCUUUUUUGUUUGCCCAACAAAAUAUAGUGCGAACGAAAACUACAAUUACUUCAGUUGGGCAGAUGAUGACGACGACAACGUUACCUCCACAAUUCGUGCCAAUGGUGGACCUCAGACAGAUUCAAGAACAAAAGAAAUUAAUGAUAUAAGGAGAAGGAAUGACCUGAUGGACAAUGCAAUUCAUGAGCAUAAGAGAAGGCUUCAAAGGAUGGAGAAGAUUUUGAAGGCAAUGACUUAUGUCAUUAUAUUUUGUGCAUUUUUGUACUUUAUCAUGUAAAUCACUCAAUUGUUUGGUUUUCAAACAUGCUAUAAAUGUAAUCUACUUUUCUAUUUGUUUUGUAUUUUUUUGUUGGCGCUUUAAAAUUUGUUGGUUGGUUGCUUAAU